rnacentral:rRNA from 1 species
AUUGAACGCUGGCGGCAGGCCUAACACAUGCAAGUCGAGCGGAUGAAGGGAGCUUGCUCCUGGAUUCAGCGGCGGACGGGUGAGUAAUGCCUAGGAAUCUGCCUGGUAGUGGGGGAUAACGUCCGGAAACGGGCGCUAAUACCGCAUACGUCCUGAGGGAGAAAGUGGGGGAUCUUCGGACCUCACGCUAUCAGAUGAGCCUAGGUCGGAUUAGCUAGUUGGUGGGGUAAAGGCCUACCAAGGCGACGAUCCGUAACUGGUCUGAGAGGAUGAUUGGUCACACUGGAACUGGAACACGGUCCAGACUCCUACGGGAGGCAGCAGUGGGGAAUAUUGGACAAUGGGCGAAAGCCUGAUCCAGCCAUGCCGCGUGUGUGAAGAAGGUCUUCGGAUUGUAAAGAACUUUAAGUUGGGAGGAAGGGCAGUAAGUUAAUACCUUGCUGUUUUGACGUUACCAACAGAAUAAGCACCGGCUAACUUCGUG